CCAGAACAUCCUGAGACCAGCUGGGGCAAGGAGCCCAGAGGAAAUCCCCAUAGUAAUUUAAUAGUUCACAGGGCUUUGGGUUUGUGAGGAUUACAAUGAAGAAUUAAAGUGAUAUUGACCACCCACUUAAGAAGAGCCUUUGUGCUUUUCCCUUGAUAUUUCUGCACUUACUUUGUUCCCAAGAACAUUGCUGUAGGGUGACCAAGAUGAAAACCUUUUUUUUUUUUCUCAAAAGGGUAUAUGUUGCCAUUUAACAUGAGAAACAAUUAAACAGAAUACAUCUAGUAGGAGAGAAACCUACUUUGAAACACCCGAUUUCAGGCCUGGCUUUUCGAGCACUCUGGGCUUCGAGAGGCGAUCGUGAAGUAUGGAUGAGCCACUGCUAAAAAGUCUACCACAGGGACAAGAGCUUUAUUCCUCUGGAGACAUCAAGAAAAAAGCUCAGAUUCCUUGAUCUCUAGAACAAGAUACCUGCUCUAGAAACAGCAAAAAACACCCAUUCUCCAACCUCAAAGCCAGAAUUCUUCCAGAAAAGUGUUCCCAGAUGCAGAGCAGCUACGCUACCCAUGUGGACAAGUGGAGAAAAAAAAGCAUUGAGCACUUUGGAUUAUAUGGAGAACCGGCCUGAUACAAGGUUUCAAAAUAUAUCAUGAAAGCAUGCUAUUUUGAUUUUAAUCUCCCUUUGCCUGGUCCUCAAUCUCCUAUU
rnacentral:lncRNA from 12 species